rnacentral:rRNA from 1 species
AGCAGCCGCGGUAAUUCCAGCUCCAAUAGCGUAUAUUAAAGUUGUUGCAGUUAAAAAGCUCGUAGUUGAAUUUCGGGAUCAGUAAGCCGGUCGUACCUUCGGUAUGUACUGGUGUCACUGAUUCCUCCCUUCUGAUGAACCGUUAUACCAUUUAGUUGGUGUGGCGGGGAAUCAGGACUGUUACUUUGAAAAAAUUAGAGUGUUUAAAGCAAGCUACGCGCUUGAAUACAUUAGCAUGGAAUAAUAAAAUAGGACGUUUGAUCUCCUAUUUUGUUGGUUUCUAGGAUCGACGUAAUGAUUAAUAGGGAUAGUUGGGGGCAUUAGUAUUCAAUUGU